rnacentral:lncRNA from 1 species
AGUCAGACAGGAAAUGAUCUCCAAUCAAGGUAACCUCAAACAACAAGACGACCGGUGCAUUCCUCCUCCCUGCUGGCUGAAGAUACUAUUUUUCAAAUAAGAUGCUUCUCAGACUUUAGAGACAGAACCUCACCCAUGUCAUGUGCCAAGACAUGCGAAGGACGGGGAGGAGCUUCAUGCUACUAUGCACAAUAUUUCUCCCUUUCUUCUAACCCGAACUGAUGUUUUUUUAAAAGACGUGUGACAUGGUGUUUUUAAGAGUGAAAAGACAAAUCAUUAACUCCCCUCUGCUGGGAGUUUAUAUUUCAGUUAUGUUAUGCCAGAAUAGCUUUAGGGUGGAUACGGUACUUGAUGGCUUUGGUAUUGAAGACUCAACGGACUGUGCGUUUUUUUUUUUUGGAGAAAUGGCCAGUUUUCCAUACUACACUAGCAUGAAUUGCCAGACCAAAUGCCGCGAAAAAGUUGCAUCACAGGAUUGUGUUUUGAACAGGAGGAAGAUAAAAGACUGGACGACUGGAGAGACUAAUACAACCGAUACCUCUCAGGGUCGCUCAGACGAAAGACAGGAAAACAACUCUGCACAGACGUAAUCGGAUCACGAGACAAUAACUUUUUUUCUCACAUUUUCUCUGGACUGGAAACCAACGCCUUUGUUUCGUUUUCCUGGAGGAGUUUCUGUCUUAAAAAGAGUUUAACUCAAAUUUGACUUCCCUUUUUUUAUUUAGAGAAAUGUAUUCUUGCUCUCCAGCCAUGUAUAUCAGUACUAGCCUAUCCCUUGGGUUUCAUUUUUCAUUUUUUUGACUGCCAAUAUUUAAAACACUAUAGCAUGACUUUACUCUGUAGCAAGAUGGACUUUAUUUUGUCAUCUUCCCCCGUACAUUUUGUGUUUGUAUUUAAUUAAUUUUGUUCAUAACCGUCAACGUUUUGUGAUCAGAAAUAACAUCCCUGCAGCUUAAACUCUUAAUAUUCAUCCUCUGAUUCCUCUGAUUUGUACAAAGCACUCUUUUUUUUGUUCCACAAUUUUCUUUUUUACAUUUUGAAUGGUGCUAGAUGUCAUUUGUGACGUAUCAUGCAGUACGCCAUGAUGCAAUGGGUGCAUAUCAGGGCCUUUUGAAUUUUCUGUAUACAGCUCAAGGAUCUGGAUUAGGUGUUAUGUUAGAAGUUAGCACACGAUCAACAGUCCUUCCCCUUCCUUUUGUUUUUAUGUUUUUAUAUCACCCCCCCCCGAACUGGUCGUUAAAUAGAUCUGGAAACAGAAGACCAGUUUGUUCAAACUGCAUGAUUUUCUUGUUAUUUUAAUUCAUAACAUGCAAUCAUUUUUAGAAGGUUGUAUAUGCAACAACUCCCACAGUUUUUUUUAAACUAAUGUCCAGGUGUUGGAAAUGUUAACAGUCGCGAGGACAGACUGCAGCAUGUAAAAGGAGCGGUGGUUGGUUUGAUGUCUCUAGUUUGCUGUUGCCUCGUUUAAAAGAAAAGGGCAGGUGUGGUGUUAUAACUUCCCUUGUAUCCCCCCUCUAUGUAAUAAUUAUCUACAUAUUUUGUUCUUCAGUUUUCUUUAAGUAGAAGUUAGUCCCUUUGUUUGUUUUGACAUUUAAAAUUGCCCCAUUUAUUUCAGUAUUUUGGUAUUCGGCAAAGGUUUUCUUCCAUAGGGGGAGGGUGGGGUGGAGAGGGAAUGAUGAGUUGUGCAUAAGCCAAUUAUGUUUAUGAUUUUUGAUUAAUGUUGAUAGUUUUUAUUCCCCCCAACCUCUUUUUUCUUUCUUUACACAUUGUAAAGUCAGCCAGAGAUGACAAACAGUUCUGAACAGCAGAAAUAAAUUCAAUAAACUGUUUAACCCACUUUGUCUGAGUCUUUGGUGCAAAGUUACUGACUUGAGGUUUCAUUGAAGUCUGACUGUUC